GACGAACGCUGGCGGCGUGCUUAACACAUGCAAGCCGAACGGUGAACGAGGGAGCUUGCUCCCUCCGGAUCAGUGGCGAACGGGUGAGUAACACGUGAGCAAUCUGCCUCGAACUCUGGGAUAAGCGUUGGAAACGACGUCUAAUACCGGAUACGACGCUGGAGGGCAUCCUUUCCGCGUGGAAAGAACUUCGGUUCGAGAUGAGCUCGCGGCCUAUCAGCUUGUUGGUGAGGUAACGGCUCACGAAGGCGCAGACGGGUAGCCGGCCUGAGAGGGUGACCGGCCACACUGGGACUGAGACACGGCCCAGACUCCUACGGGAGGCAGCAGUGGGGAAUAUUGCACAAUGGGCGCAAGCCUGAUGCAGCAACGCCGCGUGAGGGACGACGGCCUUCGGGUUGUAAACCUCUUUUAGCAGGGAAGAAGCGAAAGUGACGGUACCUGCAGAAAAAGCACCGGCUAACUACGUG
rnacentral:rRNA from 1 species